GGCACUUUAAUACAGCCUAUGAGAGACUAUUUGUGAAGCCUUGUUGCUGCUGAAGACCUCAGUGUAUCGGAGAUGCCAUUACUAUGGGAUGAUCACCAUUAACAGCAGCAGUGAUGGAGUGAAUCAACCUGAUCUUAGGAUGCUAUAACAGGCAGAGCUGGUGAAGUGAUGCCAGGCCUUUGGAGUUGGCCAGAAGACCAUGUGUGGAUCUCAGUCAUAACAAGCCUUCACUGCACCGCCGAUGCUCUCAAAUGCCAGCAUCACCUCUCGCUUGCUGAGCUCCAGCAGAAGUAGAAGGAGGCUGGAGCUCAGCAAGCAAGAGGCAGCACUGGCGUUGGAGAGCAUCGGUGUGGCGAAGUUUGCAAACACCUGAAGUAUCCAUUCUAAUAUCGAAUAAAAUUGAUUUCCAAUCCAAAGUU
rnacentral:lncRNA from 1 species